GUUUGGUUUGCCAUCACUUUUUGUGACUUUUCUGACAUCUGCAAGUGUCGGAAGUGUGACCUGAAACAUUUAAGGACACUUCUGCCUGAACCAUGGGCAGAUGUUUAGACUCCAAGAUACAGAGGAGGAGGGUCUUGGAGGUUUCUUAGUAUAAGUUCCUCCCUGUGGUACUUGCAGUUCCUACAAGGGGCUGUCAGAGAAACAAGCCGGAGCAGAAGAGCAAGACAUGGUCCUGGUGCAUGAAAGGAGCCUAAGAAAGAAGAGUGAAAGCUGCACGUGUUCUACCUCCAGAAAGCCAUAAAAGAGAAAAGAAUGUUGUACCAAACUAAGCAAAUGAAGCAUGAAAUGAAAAGCCGGUUGAGCUGGGAGGUAUAAAGAAUGGAAAGGAAGCAGCUACCACCCCUGGUAACCCCAUCAAUCCGGAGAAGCUUCGCAGAGUUACACUGUGCUCUGUCGGAGGAAGUCUAAAAUAACACAUGGGUGUCUCGGCCUUGGCACAGCUAAACCCUGGAACAUUGAACUGAAGUCAUAACAAUGGGUAAUAUUUUAAUAUAAUGAAAAAUUAUCAUUAACUUUUCUCGACAGGAAGGAAAUGAAUUUUCCUCAUUGUACACAUUCCGAGAAAAAUGAGGCUAAGACUAUUUCAAAGGAUGUUCUACCUAAUUCGAAUGGGCUUUAAGUGCCAUCUUCACAAUAGCGCCAGAGUCUGGUGUCAGCAAACUGAACAAAUAGAGCUACAGGGAGCGAAUGGGGCUGGGUGCCUCUCCAAAACAUAUGCAGAUGAACUUGAGAUUUCAGAGGACGGUUAAUCCUACACAGCAGUCAAGUGCCUUCCCAGGGGUAUGUCUCAGAUCUCAGGGCUCCCUUCCAAACACUGGCUGCCACGUCAAACCAAAGGGGACGAGCAAUCAGACUCACCUCAAACGCCAGUUAAGAAAGCCGGCCUUACUUAAGCAAUCAAGGGCAAGUGAUCAGCCAACUCUGCUUUCUUUCCUUUCUCUUGGAUCAUUUAUAGACCUUGUGGCCGUGGCCACCACAUUGAGAAGCCCUUGGUCUCUACUUGGACUCACUAUAGCAGGU
rnacentral:lncRNA from 1 species